rnacentral:rRNA from 1 species
UGGGGAAUCUUGGACAAUGGGGGCAACCCUGAUCCAGCCAUGCCGCGUGAGUGAUGAAGGCCUUAGGGUCGUAAAGCUCUUUCGCCUGUGAAGAUAAUGACGGUAGCAGGUAAAGAAACCCCGGCUAACUCCGUGCCAGCAGCCGCGGUAAUACGGAGGGGGUUAGCGUUGUUCGGAAUUACUGGGCGUAAAGCGCACGUAGGCGGACCAGAAAGUUGGGGGUGAAAUCCCGGGGGCUCAACCCCGGAACUGCCUCCAAAACUAUUGGUCUAGAGUUCGAGAGAGGUGAGUGGAAUUCCAAGUGUAGAGGUGAAAUUCGUAGAUAUUUGGAGGAACACCAGUGGCGAAGGCGGCUCACUGGCUCGAUACUGACGCUGAGGUGCGAAAGUGUGGGGAGCAAACAGGAUUAGAUACCCUGGGUAGUCCACACCGUAAAACGAUGAAUGCCAGUCGUCGGGUAGCAUGCUAUUCGGUGACACACCUAACGGAUUAAGCAUUCCGGCC